AUUGAACGCUGGCGGCAUGCCUUACACAUGCAAGUCGAACGGCAGCGCGGGGCAACCUGGCGGCGAGUGGCGAACGGGUGAGUAAUAUAUCGGAACGUACCCUGGAGUGGGGGAUAACGUAGCGAAAGUUACGCUAAUACCGCAUACGAUCUAAGGAUGAAAGCAGGGGACCGCAAGGCCUUGUGCUCCUGGAGCGGCCGAUAUCUGAUUAGCUAGUUGGUGGGGUAAAGGCCUACCAAGGCAUCGAUCAGUAGCUGGUCUGAGAGGACGACCAGCCACACUGGAACUGAGACACGGUCCAGACUCCUACGGGAGGCAGCAGUGGGGAAUUUUGGACAAUGGGCGCAAGCCUGAUCCAGCAAUGCCGCGUGAGUGAAGAAGGCCUGGUUC
rnacentral:rRNA from 1 species